UGUGUAGGUGGCGUUAUUAGUCAAUUGUGAAAGCCCGGGGCUUAACCUCGGAUACGCGAUUGAUACAGUAAUGCUUGAGUAAGGAAGAGGUGUGCAGAACUCAUGGUGUAAGGGUGAAAUCCGUUGAUAUCAUGGGGAAUACCAAAAGCGAAGGCAGCACACUGGUCCUCUACUGACACUGAAACAGAAAGCUGGGUAGCGAAUG
rnacentral:rRNA from 1 species